CCUACGGGCGGCAGCAGUGGGGAAUAUUGCACAAUGGGGGAAACCCUGAUGCAGCGACGUCGCGUGAGUGAUGAAGUAUUUCGGUAUGUAAAGCUUCAUCUGUAGGGAAGAAAAUGACGGUACCUGACUAAGAAGCCCCGUCUAACUACGUGCCAGCAGCCGCGGUAAUACGUAGGGGGCCAGCGUUAUCCGGAUUUACCGGGUGUAAAGGGAGCGUAGACGGCGGUGCAAGCCAGAUGUGAAAGCCUGGGGCUCAACCGCGGGACUGCAUUUGAAACUGUGCUGCUAGAGUUUCGGAGAGGCAGGCGGAAUUCGUGGUGUAGCGGUGAAAUGCGUAGAUAUUAGGAAGAACCCCGGUGGCGAAGGCAGCCUGCUGGACGAUGACUGACGUUGAGGCUCGAAAGCGUGGGGAGCAAACAGGAUUAGAUACCCGAGUAGUC
rnacentral:rRNA from 1 species